AUAAGCCUCGCCCGCGGCCGCCGGGUUGCGUCCGCACUUCUGCGCGCUGGCCCCUCCCUUGCUCCUCUCCCUAGCAGUCUCCAGGGUUUUACCGGGAGGACCUAGGCAACGGCCUGAGACUCCGAGACUCUAUGUUGAAGAUGCCUGGACUAACCUACUGAAGAUACGUGGUUUUACCAACAGCCAGCACCAAUAGGAAGAUAUGAAUGAAGCCAUCUGAGACCAGCCAUCUGGCAGCCAAACUGCCAACUGACUGCAAAUGCAUGAAUGAUCCCACUGACACCACGUAGAGCACAAAUGAGUUGCCUCCACUGAGCCCAGCCCAAAUUGUUAUCCUAUAAAAUCAUAAAAACAUAAACAGUUGUUUUAAGUCACUAAGUUUUGGAUAGUUUGUUAUACAACAAAAGCUAGCUGAAACAAAUGUAUUAGCUAGAGCAGCUGUGAAUGGCACUAUUUGCUUAGUUGAUUGGCUGAAAUUUGGACUCACUGGUAGGUUACAUUUAAUGGUGUUGAGUUGCCAGAAUUUCUCUGGAAUAAUGUAUAGGAAGGAUUCUAAUGGCCUAAGCCAUUAGAAUCUCUAAGGAGAUAGAAAUAAAGGAGUGAUUUAUUAUAUGUAACUGUGCCUCUUCCCUCACCACACUUGGUCCUGAAAGAGCCUAAGGAAUAGUUUCUUCUCUAAAGCAUUGAAAAAUGCUUUAAUGGGAGAAGCCCCAGCACCCUUGAACAUGUUCAGGCAGCUGCUUUCUAUAGGCCAAGGAUGUGGUGGGAAAAUCUGCCUGAUCUCAAUGUAGAUGAUGAGAUCCCAGAGUAGCGAUCAGCAUUUUUUACCAGCAGGAAUAAUCUUUGGUGGUGGUUGGCUCUAAGAAUUAAAUAGAUGUGGGCCGGGCGUGGUGGCUCAUGCUUGAAAUCCCAGCACUUUGGGAGGCUGAGGUGGGUGGAUCACCCAAGGUUGGGAGUUCAAGACCAGCCUGACCAACAUGGAGAAACCCCGCCUCUACUAAAAAUACAAAAUUAUUUUUGUAUGGUGGCACAUGCCUGUAAUCCUAGCUACUCAGGAGGCUGAGGCAGGAGAAUCGCUUGAACCCGGGAGGCGGAGGUUGCAGUGAGCUGAGAUUGUGCCAUUGCACUCCAGCCUGGGCAACAAGAGUGAAACUCCGUCACACACACACACAAAAAAAGAAUUAAAUAGAUAAUAGAUGUGUAGCCUGCCAAAGCAUUACUUGAUCUGUAUAAUAGAAACCAGACCUGAGGUAACACAUGCAUGGUGAUAUGUGCCUAUAGUCCCAGCUACUCAGGAAGCUGAGGUGGGAGAAUCACUUGAGCCUGGGAGGUCAAGGCUACAGUGAGCCAUGAUUGUACCACUGCACUCCAGCCUGGGAGACAGAGUGAGACCCUGUCUCA
rnacentral:lncRNA from 1 species